rnacentral:rRNA from 1 species
GAUGAACGCUGGCGGCGUGCCUAACACAUGCAAGUCGAGCGAUUUACUUCGGUAAAGAGCGGCGGACGGGUGAGUAACGCGUGGGUAACCUGCCCCGUACACACGGAUAACAUACCGAAAGGUAUGCUAAUACGGGAUAAUAUGUUUUGAUCGCAUGAUCGAAAUAUCAAAGCUCCGGCGGUACAGGAUGGACCCGCGUCUGAUUAGCUAGUUGGUAAGGUAACGGCUUACCAAGGCGACGAUCAGUAGCCGACCUGAGAGGGUGAUCGGCCACAUUGGAACUGAGACACGGUCCAAACUCCUACGGGAGGCAGCAGUGGGGAAUAUUGCACAAUGGGCGAAAGCCUGAUGCAGCAACGCCGCGUGAGCGAUGAAGGCCUUCGGGUCGUAAAGCUCUGUCCUCAAGGAAGAUAAUGACGGUACUUGAGGAGGAAGCCCCGGCUAACUACGUGCCAGCCGCCGCAGUAA